UACGUAGGGGGCAAGCGUUAUCCGGAUUUACUGGGUGUAAAGGGAGCGCAGGCGGCGCAGUAAGUCAGAAGUGAAAGCCCGGGGCUUAACUCCGGGACUGCUUUUGAAACUGCCGUGCUUGAUUUCAGGAGAGGCAAGCGGAAUUCCUAGUGUAGCGGUGAAAUGCGUAGAUAUUAGGAGGAACACCAGUGGCGAAGGCGGCUUGCUGGACUGAUAAUGACGCUGAGGCUCGAAAGCGUGGGGAGCAAAC
rnacentral:rRNA from 1 species